GAUUAACGCUAGCGGCAGGCCUAAUACAUGCAAGUCGUACGGUAACAGGUGUAGCAAUACAUGCUGACGAGUGGCGCACGGGUGCGUAACACGUAUGCAAUCUGCCUUUAACUGGGGAACAACCCCUCGAAAGCGGGGCUAAUACCGCAUAACAUCACCGGACGGCAUCGCCUGGUGAGCAAACCUACGGGGGUUAAAGAUGAACAUGCGACUGAUUAGUUAGUUGGCGGGGUAACGGCCCACCAAGACAGCGAUCAGUAGGGGAUCUGAGAGGAUGAUCCCCCACACGGGUACUGAGACACGGACCCGACUCCUACGGGAGGCAGCAGUAAGGAAUAUUGGACAAUGGAGGCAACUCUGAUCCAGCCAUGCCGCGUGGAGGAUGAAUGCGCUAUGCGUUGUAAACUUCUUUUAUACGGGAAAAAUAUCCGCUAUUCUUAGCGGAUUGAUUGUACUGUAAGAAUAAGGGUCGGCUAACUUCGUGCCAGCAGCCGCCGUAAUAC
rnacentral:rRNA from 1 species